rnacentral:rRNA from 1 species
UACAGAGGGGGCUAGCGUUAUUCGGAAUUAUUGGGCGUAAAGGGCGCGUAGGCGGCCUUGCGUGUCUUCCGUGAAAUCCCUCGGCUUAACUGAGGACGUGCGGAAGAAACUGCAGGGCUCGAGUCCGGGAGAGGGGGGUGGAAUUCCCAGUGUAGCGGUGAAAUGCGUAGAUAUCGGGAGGAACACCAGUGGCGAAGGCGACUACCUGGCCUGUUCUUGACGCUGAGGCGCGAAAGCUAGGGGAGCAAACGGG